AAAUUGAAGAGUUUGAUCAUGGCUCAGAUUGAACGCUGGCGGCAGGCCUAACACAUGCAAGUCGAACGGUAACAGGAAACAGCUUGCUGUUUCGCUGACGAGUGGCGGACGGGUGAGUAAUAUCUGGGAAACUGCCUGAUGGAGGGGGAUAACUACUGGAAACGGUAGCUAAUACCGCAUAA
rnacentral:rRNA from 1 species